rnacentral:lncRNA from 1 species
AAACAGCGGGGGAGCGGCUUGGCUGACGCUCGCUGCCCGGGGAGCAGGGUGCAACGGCCGCAGGCCGCUGGACUGAGCCACGGGAUGGUAGCUAGGAGAUUGGAAAGCCUUUGAUGCCAGAAGAUUCUGGCUGGAGACGCUGACAACCCAGCCCUGACCCUCCGGGAGUCUCAGGCUGUGGCUCAGACCUUAAGGUAAGGAGUAGCUCGUAGAGCUGCCCUGGAGUCGCAGGACUCGCCGUACCCUGUACGUUCCUACCUCCCCGCUACCUCCUCACCUUCUUCCUCUGCUCUUCUCCGGGGUCUUCGGCGCCAAGCUGACGCCCUGUGCUGGGUUUCUGGCCAGGGCUCCCAUGCUGCGCGUUCUGGGUUUCUGCUCCGCGGCCCGCGGCACCUUCGCCCCCUCUCCACCAUCCACCCCUCGCUUUCACGUUUUCUCCAGGACCGCACCAGGAACCCUGCACCCUGACUCUGGGUCGCUGGCGAGGGCGAGGGGUUGGUACGAGAUCGCCCACCGUCUCCAGGUCUGUGGGUACAGAUGCACAAAUUGCCCCUAAGAUCUGGAAGUUGGAAUCUGAAAUACUGCAAUUCCUAAUCUUCCAGAACAUACCCUGGCCUUGCAUUACUGCCCUAACUUUGGGAAGAGUAUCAACUCUUGAAUCCGGUCAUUGCAAUAAAUCACUUUAUCUGUGCGCCCUCACUGAACACAGUAGGUUGGGAUUCCCCAGGCACUACCCUACCCCCUUUCCCAGUUUAAACACUGGGAUAAGUUUACAGUGCUUUCAAGGCGACUGCAAUUGCUACAAGUUUAUCAGACCUUGAAGCAAUAUCUCUUAUCCCAGAGCUUGGGGAAAAAAAAAAAAAAAAAAAAAAAAACUCAGGCCCCACCCUUUAUUCUUGAUUCAGAUUUGGUGGGAGAAGGGGCGGGAGGAGAGAGAGAGGCUGUUGUUGUGUAUGUAUAUAUACUUCAUAUCUAAACGGGGGGAAAAAAAACCGCCCGGAAGUGAGAGCGAUCCUCCUCCUCCUGGAUUGUCCUCCUGAAAGUGUAAGGUCCACAUGGCAGAAAGGCCGUUCACCGAGGCUGAUGGUUUGAUGCGGUGCCAUCACUUCUGGGAUGGUGGUUAGGGGAAGGGAAGCUGAGUGCUAUUUUGAAACUCAGAUACAGGACUAGAGGAAAAUGCCAUGCUUCUAAGAGACCAGAGUUAAAACAUCAUGGUUUUUUUUUUUUGGUAAGAAUUUCCCCACAAAUACUCCUGUGAGUGGAAAGGGUGGAGGCCUAUUCUGCGGGGAAUCUGAAAAUCUUCCCCGGACUGCCCCUUGAUUUUUGUCAAUGAUGGAAUGCAGGCCUUUGGCCUGUGUACUUGUUGCUUAUUUAAAGGCAAAAAAAACAAAAACAAAAACAAAACUAAAAAUCUCAAGCAGACCAAUCUCCAGGCAACAAAAGAAGGAACGGUCAUUCAAAUUAAUGCAAAUCUUGUUUAUGCUCCCAAUUAUGUGAGCCCAGGUCUUUCACUCUGACUGGCCUCUAGACGUUAUACAUCAUAUUUAAUGAAGCUAAUUUUGUCUCCAUCCUGCCUGGUGUCACAGUUGUGCAUCUGCUAGUUUUUCUAUGCACAUCCUUAUUUGUACCUCAGCCAUUAUAAUAAGUAUCUGCAGCCAGCAGAGGGUAACAACCAGGGACAAAAGAGACUGACCUGUGUCUUCUGAAAAGUUAAGGAAACAGCUAAUUUCUUAAUAUAUUGUCACAUAGGUACACUAUUAAAACAGUGAUUUUAUUUUAUGGACCUAGAUGUGUUAAGUUUCAAGCCCAGCGGAGUGGCUGGGGUGCCUAUUUAACAUAUCAAAGCAGACCUGGCCUCCAGGUCCUCCCAGCAUCCCUCAGUCCCUACCUGUAACUGGGUAUGGCUGGCACACUCUACCCUGAGCUCUACAGCCCUGGGGCUAGGCUGCCCUGCCCCCAGAGGCUCUUCCCUACAUAAUCCAGACAUUUUGGUCACCCGCCCCCUUUUGUACCUUUGGCCUCCUGGUGGCUGUACUUGGCUCCACUCCACUCUCUCCCUUCCCCUCCCCCAACAAGAUUCAGGGUCAUGACCACUCUGGACUGCCCCAGAUGUGUCUGCCUCCGACUAUGUUCUCCUACAUAUCUAUAGUAAACUUUCUCCUCCACCAUACCUAGGAGCAGUCAUGUCUUUUCCUUUUUAUUUACUUUUUUCAUUCACUGUGAAAAAGGGCUGAUACCUGCUUUCAAGAACAUUAAGGACAAAUGGAGACUGUGAAGCCUUUUGAACAUUUGAGAAAAGACGCUGUCUAGUUAUUGAGCCAAUAUGAUUGUUUUCCUGGCAAAAUUUUUCUCCUUUCUAAAAUUAACUUUCCCUAAGGAGGAAUAGUGCAGAUGCGCAUGAUUCAGCCCAGCCAACUCCCGAGAAUCCUGUAAAGUGUAAAAGUGACCUUCCUUCAUGCCUGUGGAUCCUGGGGUGAGAUCUGAUGGCAGCACAUGCCGACAAGCCCCCCGCCUGCUGGCCUUGGCCAGGUGCCCCUUCGAUGGCAUGGGCAGAGUUACAGUAUUGCACUACAGGUUCUAUCGGUGAGGCAAAAGUAUUAUUAUUUCCCAAAGAUUUCAUGUAUGUUGUACUCACUGGAUCUGAGACUUCCAUAAUUAUAUAUGUAACACAUGGUUUUAAUAGGAACCAAAAACCACAAUAUUUUUCUCUGUGGUGGGAUAGUUAAGCAUUAGGUUUUGAUCACUUUUUCAUGGACAUUUUAAUAUGACAGAACUAAAGGCUUCCAGAAAACAAUUCUAUAAAGAUCUAUUUGGAAUUAGAAAUCC